CCCCUUUUAAAAGCUUUCGAUGAGCCUUUACUCAUGACCAACUGAGCCAUUAAGGGCAGAGUACAAACACCACUUUUGAGUGAAGUGACAGCAUGUAAUAUUUUGCUUCAACCAAUGGUAUGACAAAG
rnacentral:snoRNA from 1 species